AGCAGGCCAAUUCACAGAUUCACCCUUGGGAGAGACAUUUUAUGAGAAAAGAGAAGGACUAGAAUAAUUUUUGCUAGAUUAGCAAGAAAAAUAGAACGUUGCCUGAUUCUCAGAGUGGAGCCCUCCUCAUCCUUCAACCCUAGCUCGGGACUCGGGACCUUCCUCUCCGUGCUGGGCUGGCUAUGAAACCCUUUGAAGAGAAUGGAAGUUUUGGGUAUACACCCAAGACACAUGAAAUCAUCAGCCUGCAGUUUGCUUCAGAUGAUGAAAUCCUGUCUCAGAAAAUUCAAGUAACACAACGUUCUGUGUGAACGUUGAUGGAGCUGAUUCCAGCCCAGGCAGCCUGAUAUCAACGCCCCUAUGACAAACACACAUGAGUGCUCACCAAACCCUGGC